AUGUAUUUUAAAUCAAUUCACUUCCCAAGUUUAAAGCAAUUCACUUCCCAAGAUAACCUUAUUAAGAGGAAUUGGCAUGGAAGUCCGCAAUGUGUCUUUUGUCACCAUGAUGAGACAAUAAAACAUUUAUUCUUUCAAUGCAAAUUGGCUCGUUCUAUAUGGUCAGUCAUCCAAAUAGCUUCUGGCUUAUAUCCUCCUUGUAGUGUUGCUAAUGUAUUUGACAACUGGUUACAUGGGAUUGAUCACAGGUUUAGAACUUUUCUCAGGGUGGGAGCGCUUGUCGUUAUUUGGUCGCUUUGGCUAUGUAAAAAUGAUAAGGGUUUUAACGAUAAAAGUACUUCCCUGAUGCAGGUUAUCUACAGAUGUACCGGAACUCUUCGUUUAUGGUCCUCUCUACAAUGCGUGGAGAAUCAAGACCUGUUUACGGAGGUGUGUACAUGA
rnacentral:rRNA from 1 species